rnacentral:lncRNA from 1 species
GAGAUUAAAAAAUAUCCAGUGCUGCCUAGGUGAGAAAAACUAACUUUUUAACCUUCUGUUUUCUCCAGAGAUCCGGGUUUGGCUGAGGUUUAACCACUGGUGCAGAAGGUUGCAGGUACAUUGGCAGAUCUCAAGAGCAAGAGAUUUACUGCGUGAUGCCGGCCACACCUUGAGCUGCUGCUCAGGGGAACAAAGGCAACAAGAUCUAGGAUUGGAGCUGAUGGAAAAGACUGUAAAACUUUCUAUUUUCCAUUUAAAUUCAUUUUUCACAAACAUCUAUUAUACCAGAUAGUUUUCUUCAGCAUUUAAGCUAAAUGUUCUGAGAUUUGUCUUGUGGUUCUGAGAACACAUCAAUAUUCUGGGAGAGACAA